UACGGGGGGGGCAAGCGUUGUUCGGAAUUACUGGGCGUAAAGGGCUCUUAGGCGGCCAACUAAGUCGGAUGUGAAAUCCCCAGGCUUAACCUGGGAACUGCAUCCGAUACUGGAUGGCUUGAAUCCGGGAGAGGGAUGCAGAAUUCCAGGUGUAGCGGUGAAAUGCGUAGAUAUCUGGAGGAAUACCGGUGGCGAAGGCGGCAUCCUGGACCGGCAUUGACGCUGAUGAGCGAAAGCUAGGGGAGCAAACGGG
rnacentral:rRNA from 1 species